UCGAACUUCUGAUUCCCUGCUGCCAAUGCCAUGGAUAACACCCCCUUGAAAAGAGAAGGCUUCUUAAAAAAAUGCCAAUGAUAAUCAUGCAACUUAUUGUCGCACCAUAAACCAAUUGACCAAAGGAUAGACUGCACCAAAUUUAGCCUAAUCUCAGAGCCACUGCAGUGAUUUACACAAACUAGACUCUCCAAAUACUUCUUUUCAUUCUGUACGACAUCUUCAGAUGACGG
rnacentral:misc_RNA from 1 species